CCUCCUUCUCCGCCUGCGCCGGCGCGCCCGAGCAGCCAGCCUCCUCCUUCUCCGCCUCGUCAGCAAGGGCGGAAGAGACCCGCCGCCGCUCCGGCUUCUACGGCGCGUCGCAGUCCUUCUCCUCCACCUCGUAAGCAAGGAAAGAAGACAUCCGCUCCGUCUACUCUGUCGGCGUCUAGCAGUACAGCCAAAGGCGGGAGGAGAUACAGAUUCGGUCCUUCUCUGAAGACUCCAGAGAAGUUACCGUACGAGAGGAGCGAGGAGGAAAACGCGAAGAUCGCGCAGACCGAAGUGGAUGACUGGUUUCAAGGGUUGAAAGCAAAGAGACAUCCACCUCCGGAGGAGAAGGUAGAUCCGGUGAAAGGGAAGCGCACUCUGGCUGCCCUGACAAAACCACCCAAGUCUCCGCCGAAAGGCAACUAUGAGCGCAUUAUUGGAAAGGCAUUUGCCGAAGCGGAGAGGUCGGGAAGUACUAAAAGUGAUCAAAGGAUGAAAGAACGACGAGCUGGGAAACAAAUUGCCCAACUCGGCGAACAAGCGAAGCAA
rnacentral:rRNA from 1 species